GACUUGAACAUGUACAGUUUUGUCAUGCCAGACGUACCAUGCCAACCAAAUGACAAUGACUGCGGCGUUUUUAUUAUGAAAUUCAUGGACAACUGGUCCAAUGGGGGACUCUCCAAAUCGAUCGAUGUGGCCAAGAUGAAGAAGUAUAGAUUGAAGCUACUGGGCAGAUUAUUGCUUUCAUCACAUAAUGCGCAUCGGCAUCGAUUCAUGGCAGUUUGAGAUACACUUUUCAAUAGGAUGUGACGAGGAUUUUUAAAGCUGAUUGUACAUUAUACAGGAAAAAGUACAUACACAUGACAAUGUAUUGCGAAUAUUAUG